rnacentral:rRNA from 1 species
AUCGAGUUUUUGAACGCAAGUUGCGCCCGAAGCCAUUAGGCCGAGAGCACAUCUGCCUGGGCGUCACGCAUCGUCGCCACCCCCAUCGCACGCACGCGUGCCUUGAGCGGGUGACGGAAAUUGGCCUCCCGUGCCCUGCGCGGUUGGCCUAAAACCGAAUCCUCUGCUAGGGAGAGUCACGACAAGUGGUGGUUGAAACCCUCAACUCGAUCGAAGUCGCGGUCCGGAACGAGCAAGGGAGAUCAAAGACCCCGGAGCCUACGGGCCCCUCGACCAUGACCCCAGGUCAGGUGG